UGGCGCUCAAAUAAAGAUUGUUCCAUUUUCAUAAACUCCUCACUCGUGCAGGAUUUACUCUCCCAUCUGGACAAUAAGCCCUUGCUGAUCCCUUCCUGUGGCUUAAUCUGCAACAGGACACGAGAAAGUACUACAUCCGCAGCUUCUGCUAGGUAUUCACUUAUACAACUUAAAAACCGCACAAUGGUUGCAUUUGCUGGCUCUGCAAAC
rnacentral:misc_RNA from 1 species